GCAAUCGACCAUAGGAUCGAGAAAACAGCGCUUCCCGUUCGCUCAGCGGUACUUAAGCUCGAUGCCGGCCAGUUAGUACUAAAGUCGGUGACGAUUUGGGAAUCCUGGCUGUCGAUUGUU
rfam:Exophiala dermatitidis NIH/TT8656 unplaced genomic scaffold supercont1.3, whole genome shotgun sequence.